rnacentral:rRNA from 2 species
GUGGGUAGUUUGACUGGGGCGGUCUCCUCCUAAAGAGUAACGGAGGAGCACGAAGGUUGGCUAAUCCUGGUCGGACAUCAGGAGGUUAGUGCAAUGGCAUAAGCCAGCUUGACUGCGAGCGUGACGGCGCGAGCAGGUGCGAAAGCAGGUCAUAGUGAUCCGGUGGUUCUGAAUGGAAGGGCCAUCGCUCAACGGAUAAAAGGUACUCCGGGGAUAACAGGCUGAUACCGCCCAAGAGUUCAUAUCGACGGCGGUGUUUGGCACCUCGAUGUCGGCUCAUCACAUCCUGGGGCUGAAGUAGGUCCCAAGGGUAUGGCUGUUCGCCAUUUAAAGUGGUACGCGAGCUGGGUUUAGAACGUCGUGAGACAGUUCGGUCCCUAUCUGCCGU